UACGUAGGGGGCAAGCGUUGUCCGGAUUUAUUGGGCGUAAAGAGCGUGUAGGCGGCCAGGUAGGUCAGCUGUGAAAACUCGAGGCUCAACCUCGAGAUGUCGGCUGAAACCAUCUGGCUAGAGUCCGGAAGAGGAGAGUGGAAUUCCCGGUGUAGCGGUGAAAUGCGCAGAUAUCAGGAGGAACACCCGUAGCGAAGGCGGCACUCUGGGCCGAUACUGACACUGAGGAGCGAAAGCGUGGGGAGCGAACAGG
rnacentral:rRNA from 1 species